GCUGUGCCUUUGCAAGUUACACAAGUAAUCAUCUGCGUUACGUUUCACAUGGACCAAUUAAAAUCGAGAUAUCGCUGGACAUUUGCGCGGUGACGUCACUACGCCAGCCACGUUGUAAGGCUAAUCCCCGCGAAAUUCAAAGUCAAUAUGACGGCGGUGUUCAACGAUAUCACCGAUCUGAGACGAGUUUACACCGCUGCGAUCGACGUCUUCACGAGGAAACAGCGGCGGGUGGAUUUUACGUACAAAUAAUCGACUGAUCGUACGCUCCUGAGAAGGUCCGGAAGAUACUCGUAGGGAACAAGUCAGAUGAGGUGGACAAGAAGCAGGUGGCCACGGAGCAAGGAGUCAAGGUAAGGUGGUCCACGCAGAGACCACGGUGGCUCACGCCGUGCUGAACGGGAAGCAGUAUUACCGUCAGGACUGGGUUCAUGCUGCCGCCCACGUUGUCGUCCCUCCUCUCCGCCUCGACCCCAACACGCCAGGCAACCUCAUGGGCCUACUGGGAAAGUAUGUGCUCAGUACAAAGUGGGACGUGCUCCUAAAAUACAGCAGUGAUAUCAAAGAUGUAGGAGGGUCGAUGCUUAGUGAUGAUUUGGACCAAUAACAUUCAUCUUGUUUCCAGCGACUCUCUGAGUGUUGUGGCGACUCGACUUAGCAUCAAGCAGAGGGCUUUGGGCAAAGACGACUUCACAAACCUGCUCGUGCUUAUUAUGUAGCGUGCAUCCCAGGAAGGAUCCAUGUAGAAUCGUAUUAGAUACCAUUAAUACUAAAUAGCUUUGGAAAAAAAUGCUUGGUUUUAUUUUGUAUUACUGGUCCACAAGUCCACCACUGUCUCCUCAGUGUCAAUUUGUGUUUUCAUUGGCUUAUGGUUACUGCAUUAAUGUAAUAACAAGCCGAAGAAAUAAUGUACACACAUUUGCAUUGCUUUGACCAAGGAGCCAAGCCAAGCACAACAAAAUGCUAUUCCGAAAGAAAGAAUCCUUUGAUGCUAAUUAAAAAUCGGUCGUAGCUCUGUUACGUAGCUGGUCUCAGCAAUCAACAGGCCCCAGGUCAGAAUUUAUUGAAUACGUCACUACGCCAGCUACGUUGUAAGGCUAAUCCCCGCGAAAUUCAAAGUCAAUAUGACGGCGGUGUUCAACGAUAUCACCGAUCUGAGACGAGGAAACUAGUCGGACACCUGCGGCGGGCAGGAUGCGGCCGCGAGACUGAGACACCUGCCCUCACCA